rnacentral:rRNA from 1 species
UGCCAGCAGCCGCGGUAAUACGGGAGUGGCAAGCGUUAUCCGGGAUUAUUGGGCGUAAAGCGUCCGCAGGCGGCUUGGUAAGUCUGUCGUUAAAGCGUGGAGCUUAACUCCAUUUAAGCGAUGGAAACUGCCAGGCUUGAGUGUGGUAGGGGCAGAGGGAAUUCCCGGUGUAGCGGUGAAAUGCGUAGAUAUCGGGAAGAACACCAGUGGCGAAGGCGCUCUGCUGGGCCAUAACUGACGCUCAUGGACGAAAGCCAGGGGAGCGAAAGGGAUUAGAUACCCCUGUAGUCCUGGCCGUAAACGAUGAACACUAGGUGUCGGGGGAAUCGACCCCCUCGGUGUCGUAGCCAACGCGUUAAGUGUUCCGCCUGGGGAGUACGCACGCAAGUGUGAAACUCAAAGGAAUUGACGGGGGCCCGCACAAGCGGUGGAGUAUGUGGUUUAAUUCGAUGCAACGCGCAGAACCUUACC